rnacentral:rRNA from 1 species
UACGUGGGGGGCAAAUGUUGUUCGGAAUCACUGGGCGUAAAGGGAGCGUAGGCGGGUUCUUAAGUUAGGUGUUUAAUCCCGGGGCCCAACCCCGGACCGGCACUUAAAACUGGGAAUCUUGAAUAGUGGAGAGGUCAGUGGAAUUGGGGGUGUAGCGGUGGAAUGCGUAGAGAUCCCCAAGAACACCAGUUGCGAAGGCGGCUGACUGGACACAUAUUGACGCUGAGGCUCGAAAGCAUGGGGAGCAAACAGG